rnacentral:rRNA from 1 species
ACGCUGGCGGCAGGCCUAACACAUGCAAGUCGAGCGGUAGAGAGAAGCUUGCUUCUCUUGAGAGCGGCGGACGGGUGAGUAAUGCCUAGGAAUCUGCCUGGUAGUGGGGGAUAACGUUCGGAAACGGACGCUAAUACCGCAUACGUCCUACGGGAGAAAGCAGGGGACCUUCGGGCCUUGCGCUAUCAGAUGAGCCUAGGUCGGAUUAGCUAGUUGGUGGGGUAAUGGCUCACCAAGGCGACGAUCCGUAACUGGUCUGAGAGGAUGACCAGUCACACUGGAACUGAGACACGGUCCAGACUCCUACGGGAGGCAGCAGUGGGGAAUAUUGGACAAUGGGCGAAAGCCUGAUCCAGCCAUGCCGCGUGUGUGAAGAAGGUCUUCGGAUUGUAAAGCACUUUAAGUUGGGAGGAAGGGCAGUAAAUUAAUACUUUGCUGUUUUGACGUUACCGACAGAAUAAGCACCGGCUAACUCUGUGCCAGCAGCCGCGGUAAUACAGAGGGUGCAAGCGUUAAUCGGAAUUACUGGGCGUAAAGCGCGCGUAGGUGGUUCGUUAAGUUGGAUGUGAAAUCCCCGGGCUCAACCUGGGAACUGCAUUCAAAACUGACGAGCUAGAGUAUGGUAGAGGGUGGUGGAAUUUCCUGUGUAGCGGUGAAAUGCGUAGAUAUAGGAAGGAACACCAGUGGCGAAGGCGACCACCUGGACUGAUACUGACACUGAGGUGCGAAAGCGUGGGGAGCAAAC